rnacentral:rRNA from 1 species
GGAUUGCAGGGCGGAGCUUACCAUGCAGUCGUACGAGAGCUUCUGACUUAGUGGGGACGGGUGAAUAACGCGUGAGAUCUGCCUUCAGGAUGGGGACAACAGUUGGAAACGACUGCUAAUACCCCCUAUGCCUUACGGUGAAACUGAUUUUUUCUGAAGAUGAACUCGCUUGUGAUUAAUUAGUUGGUGGGGGAAGGGACUACCUACGCAACGAUCAAUAACUGGUCUGAUAGGAUGAACAAUCACACUGGGACUGACUCACAGCCCAGACUCCUUCCGGAGGGAGGAAUGGGGAAUUUUUUUUCCUGGGUGAAAGACUGACUGACCGAUACCUCUCGAGGGAGGAAUGACUGUGGAUUGUAAACCUCUUUUUUUUUUCAAGAAAUUUUACGGGACCUGACGAAUAAAAUACGGCUAACUCCAUUCCAGGCCACCCGCCAAUACGGAAGGGGGGAGCGUUAUCCGGAAUUAUUGGGCGG